rnacentral:lncRNA from 1 species
GAAUGGGAGACCAAUAUGAUGCUCCUCUCUCACACACACACACAUGCCCCUACUAUUAAUGCAUGGAUAAAUACACACUAAAGUCCAGAGAACUAAUUUUCAGAAAAUACAGAAAAACAUUAAAAACAUAAAAUUUUUUCCUGCCCUAAUAUGUUUUGCCCAGUUAAUUCCCCUGUGAUUUAAUGGAUGAUAAAAGGAGGAAGUGGGGUUAUCUGAAGCACUGGGAAAGACCUCCACAAAGGUUCAAAGCAAUGCCUGGAAAGGCUCCAGUUAUGCAGGUUCCCACCUAUUUCUCUACACCAAAUAGAGCCUCUGGGAAACAAAGCAAUUAUCUCAAAGUCAUUAUGCUCAGAAAAGGAGCUCUUAGCCAUAACCUGAAUGUAAGAGAUUUGGGUACAGUGGCAUAUAGGAAACAGAUACAAAGCACAAUGAGCCUCAAACAGCCUGAAAACGAAACUCAAGUGUUAAUUGCAUUUAACAUGUAAAUACAACUUGACCAGCUACCACUAUCAAAAGAAACUGUAUGGAAGAAAAGCAACCUGGAAGUUUGUAAUAGUUCAGUAACAGUAGACGGCUACAUCUGUGGACAAAUCAUCCUUUUCCCUUUUAAUUGUAUCUGUUUGUUGGUGUCCUUCAACCUAGCACUAUUAAAUGUACUCUUCCUUGAACAGAAUGGAAAUAUCUAAGGAAGCAGUUUCUCCUCCCACUGAGAUUCAAAGAACUGGAAGUUGCUUGUGGGGCUGGUGAAAUGGCUCAGCACUUAAGAACGCUGGCUGCUCUUCCAGAAGACCCGGAUUCAGUUUCCAGUAUCUACAUGACAGAUUAUAGCCCUCUGUAACUCAUAUUCCAGAGGGCUUUGACACCCUCUUUAGCCUCCAUUGGAACUUCACACAUUGUUACGCAGUGUUUCAAUUUUUUUUUUUUUUGUAUGCUCAAAACUUAAGGCAUGUUUUGAACCUCUGAGAAUGAAAAAUGAAAAGAAAAUGUUUGAAAAAAUAUUUGACAUUUCAAGGAAGUUUCUUGUCUUAUUUUUACUGAUAUAAUUAGAAAUUAAACUUCAUUGUUGACAAUAUUAUACUAAUUGAAAACUAAAAGCAGACAAUGAGAGACCAGAUUCCCAAAGAAUAAAAACAAACAACAACAAAUGAAAACAAUAGCAGCCUCAGAAACUGUGGCUCUUCAGCAUUCUACUCUCCCCUUCAUGGUCAUUUGCUAAUGUGUGGGGGCAAAUGACAUGGGGUGACAUGGACAGAGAGAAGUGAGCGUGAGGGACUGAAAUCACAGGGACAUUUCAAUACCUUUUAUUCAGGCAAGGAGAUAAGAAUUAAGUGCUUGAUUUGGUCAAGUCAGCUGCAGUUGGUUAGAUCCAAGACAAAAGAGCAAAAGGAGAAAGGAGGGAGUCCCAUACUCCACAGCUUUUAUCUCAUGAAAAAUUUUAACUCUAAACUCAAGAGAGUGGCCAAACCCCAGAUGCCUGAGCUCCUCACAACCCUUAUUUUUCUUUCUCCAUCAGCAAGAUGUAUGUGUGUAAGCUCCUGCGUGCACAAGAGUAUGUUCUCAGCACUCAACACACUCACCUCAUGAAACCCAUGUAUCGGUUGCACAUAAGAGACUGGGGUGGGCACUGAACUAUACAGUACACAGUGUGAUGCUUGCCAUUUACCCAGAGUGGUAGAGGGUGUGGCUGCAUAUAAAUAUCUCUAGAGUAGUUACUGUCACUAGCCCAGGGAGAGACAGAACUUCAAAGUUAGAAAUGCAGUUUCUGCUGAAUCUAUUCCAUAUCAUCAUAAUAUAAAAAUAAUUAUUAAGUUGAGCUACCAUAAGUAAGAGAAUAUCUGUACUUGACAUAGGUCCUUCUCCAAGCACUGUUUGGUGACAUGUCAAGGAUUUUGUCAUAGGACCUUCUAUAACAUGUCUGGAACAUUUUGUGGGUCAUUUUAAUCUUUACUGGCCAAGGAUUUGGCUUAUAUUGUAUAAUUUUCUCAAUUCCCUGAGAAGACUAGUUUAUGCAUUUUCGGCAUAUUUAGAAAGAAGUUGUAUGAUGGCUCAGAGUAGAAUUAGUGUUUUUAUUUAAAAAGAUUUUAUAACUCAAACUAAAUUCUUGAAUGUUAGUUGAUUAUAUUUGAGAAGCAUUUCUGUCUUCAUCAGAUUUUCUCAUUUAGAAAUUAACAUAAUCUUAGAUAAUUAAUGGUUAUUAAAUUUAAGCUCCAAAUUUAAAAUUAUUUAUAAAUCAACAUAUGUAUAGACAAAUGAAUUCGGAUUAAUUUAAGCAUCAAGGGCAGCUUAUUAAUGAAGACCAAGCAGCGUUCUGAAUAGAAGCAUUUCAGAAUGAAGUUAUCUCAAGAUGACAAGCAUUUGAAGCUUUCCCAACCGAAUGAAACUCAAACCAGCAGAGCAAAUGCAUAUUUUAUUUUAGACCUUCAAAGGAUUUUAUAAACCUUCUGGAUUUGUUGCAGUACUUACUUACAAGAUUUGAAUUGAGUUUUUAGUAGGUAUUUAAUAGUUUAAUUAAUUUUCUGUUUUAAUAUAAGUAUGCAUAUAACUAUUUGAAAUCAUACCUGACUUAAAAUACAAAAGUCUAAUAGGUAGCCUGGUGGUAUUUGUGAUGCUUUUGCAACAUUUAGUAGCAAGUUAGGAGCAGUUCAGGAAAGGUGGGAUCAAAGUUUAGACCAAAGGGUUUGCUAGGUGUGAGGGAGUGCAACAAUGCUAUAACAAACUGCAAAAUGUUCUCUCUAGGAAGAAAUCCCUAGAAGUCUUACGAACUGCUACUUUGUAUAAAGAGAGAGGGAAGACAAAAGAAACAAGGUUCACAGAAACACCAGAGACAAGCCAUGUCAAAUCCAUUAGAACAAUGUACUGAGCUCCCUGUAUAAUCUGUAAAUAACAUAUAAAUCCAUGUGUAUCUGGGAAUUUUACCUAUAUCCCCAAUGUGAAAAUGUUUCAGUACUUUAGUACUGAAUUGUUAUUACCCAGUGCCCACAUCUGGUCAGUUCUGUAGCUGAUAAACUUGAUCGCAGCAACUUAAUUCAGACAAAUGAAAUACACAACUGGGUAACAAAGAGGACAAAUAAUGACCAAACUUAAUGGACAAGUGCAUCAUUGGUUUUUAAUUUAUUAUAUAGUGAAGAACACUUUAGAAAGAACAUGCAUAUCUUUAGAAGUGAUGUCUUUUAGCAAAUUAGUUAAAAUGGGAACAUAUUCUGAAGCUUAGUGAGAAUUUAGGUAAACUGAAAUUGAGUGCUAGGAUGUUAUUUUCACCAAGACAAUGAAGUCUAGUUUGGGUUCCUUGAUUUAUUCCAAGUACUAUAAGGUGGCAAAGGAUGUUUAAAUUAACAGCACUGCACUGUGAGAUAUAACAAUAAAAGGCGGAACAUUUGAAAUAAAACUAGCCUUGGAGUUUAGGCUUCAUAAAAAUAGCAUCCGCAAAGCAUUCCAAUCCCUAAUUACACCUCUUCAGCAUGUUCACGUCCCUUUUCUCAUUGUCUUACUUUGCAAAACAAUCCUGGGCACAAAAUAUUAAAGUAUUCCAUUGUUAGGCAAGCGUUGCAUAAACAUCCAACAUAACAAGAAAAUAAUUGUCUUAACAUCUGGUUCUGGUUCACUGAAAUCCCAAGUUUCUGAAGUCCUUUGUAAAACACCAGCAGAUGCAGAUUUCGAAUUUCCAUGUCAUGGAAGUGUGUUAUUGUUUCAUAAUCAUACUUUAAAGUAUAUAUUAGAGCAUUAAGAUAAUAUGAUGCUUGGGAUUCGUAAUCUUACUUGUCCAUAAAAAAAUUAUUUCGGUUUCUAUCCAUUCAAGUAUACUCUAGUUUUCUUAUCCUGAAUUCACAAAUUCUUUAUUCAGAAUCACUCUGAAAUGAACCAAGGGAGGAAGGAUUCUUUGGUAGCUCUUGGCAUCUGAGGGAUUUGUCAGGGUGGGGGACUCAGGACAGUAGGAGCUUGAGGUGAUCAGGUAUUCAUGUGACCACUUAUUAGGUGCCAGAAAUCUCAAGUUGGAACCAGGGUGGGAAGAGCUCCAAUGAUCUGUUUCUCAUCCAGCUAGGCUGUAUCUAGCAAAGGCUCCAUAUCCCUCAAUUUAAAGCCACAGGUUAUGGACAAAGGUUCAGAAAUGAACAUACAAUGGCAUUUCUGUUUAAAAGCAUAAUGUUGUGGAUAGCCUUGCGACUAAUUAUAUUUGAUGUUAAUUCCAUUCUCCUGUGAGUGGUUGAGAACAAGGAAUGAGUCAGCACUCAGGUGAUUCACUGUAAACCUGCUUCCCACCUUAAUUUGUAAAAUAAAGGAGAGAUGAUGAUUGGGCAGAUAAAAGGGAAGGUGGAGCAGAAGGUGGGAGAGAGAAAAAGGAGAAAAUGGAAGAGAGAAAGGAUGCAGAGGAGGAGGAAGAAGAAAAGCAGAGCAGAAGCACAUGGCCUGGAGAAACCACGAGUUCUAAGGGGUCUUAUAAGCUGUGGAAGAUGGUAGUGUAGUGGUAGAUCUGCUCAAUCUAGGCACACAGCAUGGAUUCAUAUUAACUGAGUUGUGUUUUCAUUGCCAGAGCAUAUUUGGGAGGAGAUUUACAGCAACACCAUAACACUUAUCUUUCUCUAAUUUUUGGGUUUCUAAUUCCUGUUUUUUCCUCCUUACUUGAACAGUAUUGCUUAAUUUGGUUAAGCGUUUAAGGAACUGCAAAGAUCCAUUAGGAUGUGCAAGGACAAGGAUUGUAUUGUUCUUUAUCCUUCCCUUUUUCCACACAGAAUCAGAAAGAGCAGUCUUGUUAGACAACUCUCCAUUAUUGUCCAGUGACAAGAAUCUUCUAGUACCCACAUUUUUAUUAUCUGUCAUAGAACUCCAACUAAGAGAUCAGGGGUGUCAGUGAGCAAUGGCUUGCUUCCAUGUAUUUGCCAAAUCUGUCUGGGAAACAUCAAAGAAAAUGUUUGGAAAAAAUGCAAGUCAAAGACCCCUGCAGCAGUUGGUCUCUGUGCAUCAGAGUCUCACAUGGACCUCACAAAGACUCAUUCAUUUCUAGCCCUUAAUAUGGACCUACUGUCAAGUACCUCCCUCAAAUCUUUAAUAAGGAUAUUUUCAGGCAGAGAAAUGGUUUUAUCAAAGUUUAUUCUCUUGCC